rnacentral:rRNA from 1 species
GUGAGGAAUAUUGCACAAUGGGCGAAAGCCUGAUGCAGCAACGCCGCGUGAGGGACGAAGGCCUUCGGGUCGUAAACCUCUUUUCUGGGGGAAGAGAUCAGGACGGUACCUCAGGAAUAAGUCUCGGCUAACUACGUGCCAGCAGCCGCGGUAAAACGUAGGAGGCGAGCGUUAUCCGGAUUUACUGGGCGUAAAGCGCACGCAGGCGGCUCCGUUAGUCGGACGUGAAAGCUCCUGGCUUAACUGGGAGAGGCCGUUCGAUACUGCGGGGCUUGAGGUUGGGAGAGGGGUGUGGAAUUCCCGGUGUAGUGGUGGAAUGCGUAGAGAUCGGGAGGAACACCUGUGGCGAAAGCGGCACCCUGGCCCACACCUGACGCUGAGGUGCGAAAGCGUGGGUAGCAAACAGGAUUAGAAACCCGAGUAGUCC